CAGCAACACUGCAGACUCAUCAUUAUGAAAUACUGUGCGCAUCUUUCUUUUGGCUGGGGCUACAACCUUUGUCCAUGUGACCUUAAUGAGAUGUAUGAUAUUUUGAGCCUGCGAGACAACAUGGAACAUGAGAACCCUCAAUAUUGCAUUUGCACAAUGUCAAGAGCUGUUUCUACGGACUUGCAAAGCUCCCCGUGGACCAAUUAUUUCAGCUUUCUCAUCAGCCAGCUUUGCCACUUUGCCUCGGUUUAUGGACAUAGCUAAAACGCAGGAUACGUUGGAGCACGCUUUGUCCGCAAGCGCUGCGUGGUUUGCUCCACGUUAAAACUGACAGGGUGUUGUGACGGAGCAAUUGUUCUUCAGAAACCUUGCAAUGAGAUCUCUCCAGGGGAAGUCUGUAUACAUCCACCAGAGAAAACAAACAAAUAUGACAGGAAAAAAGCCUUCAAGGAAACAUGAAGACCAAGCAUGCUAAUGAAAUUGGCAAAGUCAACACAAAAGUUUUUUUCACAGUAAUCUUCAACCUGAUAGAGUGGUUCUUUGCUCCAUAUCUACCACUUCCAGCAAAUUUCAGACAAGUGUUUACACCAAGUGAGUGGCCAGUGCAACCAGCUGUCUACACAAGGCUGGCUUUCAUUUAGAUUAGUGGGUGCUAUCACAGGGUGCAUGUGCUCUAUUGCAUUGGAGUCUGCUUGAAACUUUUAACGCAUGAGUGCCUCACAG
rnacentral:lncRNA from 1 species